UAAGGAAUAUUGCUCAAUGGGAGAAAUCCUGAAGCAGCAACGCCGCGUGGAGGAUGAAGGGCUUUCAGCUUGUAAACUCCUGUAAAGAAGGAAAAAAUUCCCAUUAGAUGGGAAAUGAUGGUACUUCUAAAGUAAGCCCUGGCUAACUACGUGCCAGCAGCUGCGGUCAUACGUAGGGGGCAAGCGUUGUCCGGAUUUACUGGGUGUAAAGGGUGCUCAGGCGGAUUUGUAAGUCAGAGGUGAAAUCACACAGCUUAACUGUGAAACUGCCUUUGAUACUGCAAGUCUAGAGUAUGGAAGAGAGUGAUGGAAUGUCUGGUGUAGCAGUGAAAUGCGUAGAUAUCAGAUAGAACACCAAUGGCGAAGGCAGUCACUUGGCCCAUUACUGACGCUAAAGCACGAAAGCGUGGGUAGCAAACA
rnacentral:rRNA from 1 species